AGAUAGUUGGUUGAGUGGUUUAAAACAUGAAUUUUGAAAAUUCAAACGCUUCUUUAGCGUCGCGAGUUCGAAUCUCGCAUUAUCAU
rnacentral:tRNA from 1 species